rnacentral:rRNA from 1 species
CAAUUAGGGAGCUACCGAACGUUGGAAACAGCGGUUAGGAGCUUACACCCACCCGUGUCUACAUACUAUUGUCUGCUUUGGCGGGCCGUGGCCUCCACUGCGGGCUCUGCUCGUGUGUGCCCGCCAGAGAACCAAACUCUGAAUGUUAGUGAUGUCUGAGUACUAUCUAAUAGUUAAAACUUUCAACAACGGAUCUCUUGGUUCUGGCAUCGAUGAAGAACGCAGCGAAAUGCGAUAAGUAAUGUGAAUUGCAGAAUUCAGUGAAUCAUCGAAUCUUUGAACGCACAUUGCGCCCUGUGGUAUUCCGCAGGGCAUGCCUGUUCGAGCGUCAUUUAACCACUCACGCCUAGCGUGGUAUUGGGGCACGCGGUCUCCGCGGCCCUCAAAAUUAGUGGCGGCGCCGGUUUUGCUCUAAGCGUAGUACAUACUCCCGCUAUAUAGUUCCCCCGGUGGCUCGCCAGAACCCCCAAUUUUUACAGGUGGACCUCGGAUCAGGUAGGGAUACCCGCU